UACGUAGGGGGCAAGCGUUGGUCCGGAUUUAUUGGGCGUAAAGAGCGUGUAGGCGGUUUGGUAGGUCCGCUGUGAAAACAUCGAGCUCAACCUCGAGACGCCGGUGGAAACCAUCAGACUAGAGUCCGGAAGAGGAGAAUGGAAUUCCUGGUGUAGCGGUGAAAUGCGCAGAUAUCAGGAAGAACACCCGUGGCUAAGGCGGCUCUCUAGUACGGGUA
rnacentral:rRNA from 1 species